CAAAGACAUAAUUUUAGUUGGGCUUUGCUGAAAGCUAAGUCCUGGCUAUAUGCACGUAAUUUGUGACAGGUGAACUAGAACAACCAAGAAGUCUCAAACCUGACCUGACCGCGCAAAAAUAAAUCGAUAUCACAUGGUAAAACACAAGAAGAACAACUUUUGAUGUACUUAUGAACAAAGAGUUUAUUUGCCAAUAUUUCCAUUGAAAUCAAAUAUAAAAACGGGAGAAAAAAGAAAGGAACAUCGUUUCAUUUUGCUUAAAGAUGAUUCAAGCUUUCAUCGUCGUUGGUUUGGCCCUCUGCGGUAAGCUGUGUAUAAGCGAAUUAUUUUGUUUUAGUUGUCGAGAAUAAGCGAGAUUCGGA